GACCGGGUGAGUAACACGUGACUAACCUACCUUCAAGUGGGGGAUAACCUAGGGAAACCUGGGCUAAUACCGCAUAACAUCUUUGGGAUGGAAAUCCUGUUGAUCAAAGGAGCAAUUCGCUGGAAAGGGGGUCGCGGCUGAUUAGCUAGUUGGCGGGGUAAUGGCCCACCAAGGCUUUGAUCGGUAGCCAGCCUGAGAGGGCGCACGGCCAACUGGAACUGAAACACGGUCCAGACUCCUACGGGAGGCAGCAGUGGGGAAUUUUGCGCAAUGGGGGAAACCCUGACGCAGCAACGCCGCGUGGAGGGAUGAAAGUCCCCUUGGGGACCGUUAAACUCCCUUUCGACUGGGAAGAUAUGACGGGUACCAGUGGAAGAAGCCCGGUAAUUUCGGUGCCAAGCAGCCGGGGGUAAUACGGGAGGAUCCAAAGGCGUUAAUCCGGAUUUAUUGGGGUUAAAAGGGUGGCGGUAGGCGGUUAUUAAGUCAGGGGUGAAAAGAAGGGUUAGCUUUAAU
rnacentral:rRNA from 1 species